GGUUUACCUGUGUGACUGCGUACCUUUUGUAUAAUGGGUCAGCGACUUAUAUUCUGUAGCAAGGUUAACCGUAUAGGGGAGCCGGAGGGAAACCGAGUCUUAACCGGGCGUUAAGUUGCAGGGUAUAGACCCGAAACCCGGUGAUCUAGCCAUGGGCAGGUUGAAGGUUGGGUAACACUAACUGGAGGACCGAACCGACUAAUGUUGAAAAAUUAGCGGAUGACCUGUGGCUGGGGGUGAAAGGCCAAUCAAACCGGGAGAUAGCUGGUUCUCCCCGAAAGCUAUUUAGGUAGCGCCUCGUGAAUUCAUCUCCGGGGGUAGAGCACUGUUUCGGCUAGGGGGCCAUCCCGGCUUACCAACCCGAUGCAAACUGCGAAUACCGGAGAAUGUUAUCACGGGAGACACACGGCGGGUGCUAACGUCCGUCGUGAAGAGGGAAACAACCCAGACCGCCAGCUAAGGUCCCAAAGUCAUGGUUAAGUGGGAAACGAUGUGGGAAGGCCCAGACAGCCAGGAUGUUGGCUUAGAAGCAGCCAUCAUUUAAAGAAAGCGUAAUAGCUCACUGGUCGAGUCGGCCUGCGCGGAAGAUGUAACGGGGCUAAACCAUGCACCGAAGCUGCGGCAGCGACACUCAGGUGUUGUUGGGUAGGGGAGCGUUCUGUAAGCCUG
rnacentral:rRNA from 1 species